rnacentral:lncRNA from 12 species
GUUGGGGACCAGUCUCACCAGAUCUGUACUGGCUAAAGGUCAAAGGACACAUGGGUCAAUCUCCAGGCUGUUUCAGGCCACCGCAUUCUCCUGCUCCUGCAUGAUCUAAGCAAUUUGCAGCAAAGGAGGUUUUGAUUUUCUCUUCUGAAUUAUCCAGAUAAGGACCUCUGCUCUCCUGGCCACGGGGCCUGACCUCUCAGGAUUGGACACAGAACACAGGAGGACAUGAGGAUUGUUGUGCCUUUUGGUGCCAAGAAGCCUGCAAGUACCAAGUGGAAAUCCCUGGCCUCAUCCCUCCUUCACAGCUCCUCAGAAAGGCAUCACACCGGGUGAGGAUGUUUGUAGGAAGACUCCUGAAAGUGUCAGAGGGCAUAUGCUUUGAUAGUUUUAGUACACAUUGGCAUAUCGCCUUCCUCAGGAUUGUCUUCAUUCAUAUUGCCACCUGCAAGGGAUGAGAAUAGCUGUUUCUCUAAGCACACUGUAGCAUCAAAGUUUGAAAUCUUUGCUAAUCCUCUAGUGAAAAAAAUGUGGUUUCCCAAUGUAAAUUGAAUUACAUUUUCCUUUUUAUGCAUGGGAUUGAGUGUAUUUUUUAUCAUUUUAUAAACAAGCAUUCUUUUCUAUAAACUCUGCUCAUAUCUCUUUUCCAUUUCCAUACUGUGCUCUUGAUCUUAUAGAUGUGUGGGAACUCUUGAUAUGCUUAUGAAAUUAGCCCUUUGUAAUAGAAAUCACAAAUAUUUUAUUUUGAAUGUGUCACUUGUCUUAAGUGCAUAUACAGUUUUUUUGUG